UACAAAAUUGGGCCUUUACCCUUGAAGAUGCAAAGCAGGAGUUGAUAUGUGAGAUUAUUGUCAAAGGAUUUUCUAAGCAUCUGAAGAUGAAAUCAAGAGCCAUGGAUUGAAUAAACAGACUGAGAAGCUUCAUUAACUUUUUUCAAGUUAAUGGGGAAAUUGUAAUCAGAGCACUUUUCAACUGACAAUGAACCAGAAGAAAGUUUUUGAGGGACAUAGUUUUCAAAUAUAUGAAUGCGACCUGUGAAGUUUGGGCUCACAUAUCUGCAAAGGAGAUGAC